rnacentral:lncRNA from 10 species
CUCUUCCCCACUUCAAGCCCGCAACUUGAUCUGCAUCGUUUCUCUUACAAUUUUAUACUACAGCAAGCAGUUAUUUAAACAAGAGGGUGCGUUCCAGAAUGCUAAGAACCAAAGGAGAAGGGCAUGCUUCUGUCCAUGGCUUUUUACUUUUUAAAACUGAAGGAUCUAAUAUUUCUCCUCUUGUUCUCAGGAAGUGAUAGCAGUAUUAGACAGAAAAGAUGAAUGUAGCGAGAAAGAAUAAACCUUGUGAUCCUUCUGUUUUACGCUCUUGCAUGAUCUUCCCAUGUCUUGGUGACCAAGCUCUUUCUAGCCCGAAUCAGCAUGGAGAACAAGCAGAGGAUGGACUUCUGCAGCAUCUUCUGCAAGAUGUGAGGACUGCAAUAUUCCCAUUCACGCAUGAACCACAGCUGCUCUCCCUAGGUCCCCUGACCUCUGGAGAAGGCUACUAGCAUAGCACUGACCCAACUUCACCAAGACAUCAAACGACAAAAGAAGGAAACAAGACGUGGGUGUCAUUACUGCAAGUCCCAUUGAGGAAGCCAUGAAGUCUCGCUUGAUGAUGCAUAAGAGUAGACAAAGGAGAAGGUGCCCAGAAUUCACACUGUAAUAGGCAUGGCCUAUGCCAAAGCUUUCAGUGUUUCCCCCUAGGCCCUGAUUGGCAUCUCUUUCCAUUCUAAAAAAUAACACACUUACAAAGAUGUACUUAACAUUGACACAGGGAACCCAGAGAUACCGAUUACAACAUGUUCAAUGGGCAGUUGGAUCUGCAUUUUAUUAGUCAAAAUAAUCUAUAUAAGAUUCCUUUUUGUGUCUAUCUUAAAGGGUAAUGAGGACUUCCAGUUUCAGCUCCAACAAGAAAAGAGCUUGGAAGUCAACGUUUUUGUCCCAACAAGAACAGAAAGUUGGACAAACUGAAAAGAAAGGACUUUUCUUUGACCCAUUGAUGAGGUGGCAGGGCAAAGCCACGCUGAGACCUGGAAAGACAGGGGUAUCUGGACAGACAUGGCAACAAAAAUUUGCUUGCCUGGAGCUGAAGCCAUAGGAGGCAUAAACUGGCAGGAUCAUUAGAUGACUGCUUUGGUGAUUUGCUGGAGGUUGAAAGUGGACUGGUGUGAGAAUGAGCAACUCCAGGGGCUGAAGUCUUAGGAAGAACCCCACAGCUCUGUGAGUUUCCAGAAACCCCAACAAGUUCUCAUGGUGAGAUUUCCUCAUGGCUCUUACCAGGACUAAUCAUUAUGACAUACACCUAGAGCCUUCUCCAGUUCGAAGAGUUUCUCUCCAGGGAAAAGGAUGUAUCCAGAGCACCAUUCUGAAGCUUGAUCCCAGGCAGAGAAAGGGUCUGCCACUUCAGGCCCCUCCAGCCUUCCUAUGGUACCUAAAAAAGGGUAGAGGUUGGAACACUGUCAGCCAGGAUCUGGGAUCUGGGCUUCAAGGAAAUGGUUUGGGAAUACUGAAGCCAGGAAAGGGAGUAGGGGGUGGAGGGGAAAACUGUACCACUGUUUUAUUCAUUCUAGAAGUGGAGCAACACUUGCAAAGGUCACAACCCCGAGAAGCAAGGCCACCAAAAUACUGAGAUUUGAUCAGAUUAUAGAAUGGUCCCCUGCCACAACAUGUUACCAUCACACUUUAUCGUAACACUGGAUAACAACGGAAAAUGUUGCAUGUUGCAGACUCUCUGAGGUGGAGUCCAUAGGGAAGUCCAAAGUCAAGAGGUGAGAUCAAAACAAGCACACUAGAGGAACUGGAAGCUUCUGUUAUUUACAGCUGCAGCAAACAUUAAACACAGCCCAACUCCUACUCAGAUUAACAUAAAUCCCCACAUUAAAGGCUGAUUUACCACAGUUUCUAUUGCCCCAUACAUAUCUGACUUUCAACAAAACAUCACAAGUCCCACUAAAAAGAAAGAUAAAACACAGUCUGAAGAGAUAAAACAAGUGUUAGAAAUAGAUUCAGAAAUGGCAAAGAUGUUGGUAUUAUCAGACAGGGAAUUUAAAAUAACUAUGAAGCAAGAGCUAUUUUUUGAAGCAGUUAAUACCACUUAAACCUUUGUUUCUCUAAAUUUAAAGAAAACUACUGCUAGAAUUGUUGUCUGUUGUGUAAAUUAAAAUAAUUAAAGCAAAAACAUUUGAAGAAAAGAUAAUUCAGAGAGCAUAAGACAUGAUACAAAGAACCCAGUGAAAGAGUGGCAUAUUACUUAAUAAACUGACUGAAACAAAAACAAAAUGGCAAUUAAA